CUUGGUUUUUAAAUAAAGUGUCCAUUUUUAAAAAAAAACCCAAGAGACCAGAACUCGUCUUUCUCGUACCACCGUUCACCACCAUCCACCGCCGUGAGCCGCCGGCUGAAAAUCGCCUCCGCUGGUGGCGAUACUCUGAUAACCGCCAAAAAAACACCAUAUCACCCUCUCAAUCUCCUCUCUUCAUUCCCGCUAUUAGCAUCCUUUGAAUAUUGACCAAUCCCAUCGAAUUUUUAUUUGAAAUCAUGGCUGCUCGGCCGCCCACGACGGCGUCGACACCAAUCACCCCCCAAAUAACACCCUAGGUUCCCCUAGCCUCCCUCACCGCGGAUCUCUAAGUCCUUUGCCUCGAAUUACUAUCCAAUGGCUAAAAAUAAGUUUGAAAAUCUGACCAAAACUCACUCCACCUUUGAACUAAACCAAAAUGGUACUUUGAGUUAUCCUUACUCCCCUCGUCCCUAAACCUUAUUAACUCUCCCUUGAAUCUCACUGGACCUCCCCAAAUUUUAGAUCGAAAUUUGUCCUAGAACCCUAAUGCCGUUGAAUUUGGGGAUAAAGGAUGUCCAGGAUAUAAUAGCCCUUAAUUUGGUAUUUUCUCAUGGAAACACCUAAUUAAGGAUGAUUAUAGUCCGAAUAUGUCAAGAAGGGUCACUAGUUUCCGUUUGAGGUAACUUUUUUAUUCUUGUAUUUAUUGUUUUGUUUGUUUUCCUGAUUCUUUGGUUCAUGAUGUUUGCUCUCUGAGUUUUUUUUUUUGAAAUUACGAUGUUUUCCAUUAAAUUUCGUUAGACUUAGCAUAGCUCAUGACCUAGUAGGUUUAAUCAAUUUUUUUUGUUGUGGUUCAUGAAUAAUUUAAUUGUGGUGAUGAUUUUAUUUGUUUUUGUAUUAAUUUCAUUUAAUUCUGUGUUGUUGAUCCCCGAUGUUACUUUAAUUGUUUCUUGAUUCCGUUUCAAUUUUAUUAGUUCAGUAUUGUAUUUACUUAGUGAUUUCUUAUUUGUUGUUGUUAGUUAAUUCUUAAUCAGUUUAAUUGUUUGGAUAUAGCUGAAUUAGGUUAGUUAGUUAAGUUUAGUUAAUAACAGGGUUAGGGUGUUGGGUUAACUAUGAUUGGUAAUUUCAGAUGAAUGGGAGGGCAAUUGGGGCAUUUUAAUAAUUGGAUCAUCUAGUAACUGAAAUAAAACCCCUAGAACCUUCUAGAUUAGGUUCAAAUUUUAAAUUAAGGUUUUUAUUGAUAUAACUUGAGGCACAAUUAAGGAAUCUAAGGUUUUCUAAGCUAAAACAAUAAAAAUAAGAAAGGGACUGAGAGGUAAAACAAAAAUAGGAAGGGUGCCCUAAACCUUGCCUAUAAAAGUCAUGACAUUGCCUUAGUGAACAAGUCUUUGAACCGUAAAAAUUCCCCAAAAUUUCCAGUUUUUUCCAGACACAUUUUCUGCAAGUUCUAGUAUCAAAUUUGUAUUUCAAAUUCAAAGAAGAUCAAAAUCUGAACUCUCAGUGUUGAAACAUUGUUACAUUCAAUUCUCUAGGUGAAUUUUAAGUUCUAGUCAUCAAUUAUUAUCUCUUAGCUCGACUUUCAGUUGCUGGAACUUCAGAAGUGUCAUGGGUUCAAAUUCGAGUCAUUUUUUGGGUGUAUUUGAACUUUUUUUGUUUUUUCAUUGCUUGAAAUUGGUGUUGGUUGUUUGGAGAUUACUUUAUGAGUUUACGAGCCUCUGAUUUUCUGUGCUGAACUGCUAUGAUACUGCUGAUCCUCUUCUCCCUUUCUAUUUCAGUGUAAUACUAGGUACACAUAUCAAAUUCGCCUCAAUGUAGCUCUUGAAUUUGAAUUGAAAUGAAACAUCAUGAUGAGUUGGCUUCCCGUUGUGUGCUGAAUUGAAUCCCUGUGUAAUAGUAGUUGAAUAGGUUUUGCCUAAUAAGAAUUUGUUUAAUGAAGUUUUGUUUUGAUUUGUAUUCAUUGUACUUGAAACGAGACUGUAUGAAUUGCUUUUGUUUUAAUUUUGUAUUAGUGUAGCUGUUUAAGUUUAGCUCUAGUGUAAUUUAUGUUUAUUCAGAGUUUGAUACAUUAUUAAUCGACAGUGAAUAAUAGUUAAAUCCGCGCUUAAAGGAAUCUGUCAAUAACUCGUGUAGCUUUGGACACAAUUCCGAGGUUUAGUCG
rnacentral:lncRNA from 1 species